rnacentral:misc_RNA from 1 species
GAUGAAGAACGUAGCGAAAUGCGAUAAGUAGUGUGAAUUGCAGAAUUCAGUGAAUCAUCGAAUCUUUGAACGCACAUUGCGCCCCUUGGUAUUCCGAGGGGCAUGCCUGUUCGAGCGUCAUUACACCACUCAAGCUAUGCUUGGUAUUGGGCGUCGUCCUUAGUUGGGCGCGCCUUAAAGACCUCGGCGAGGCCACUCCGGCUUUAGGCGUAGUAGAAUUUAUUCGAACGUCUGUCAAAGGAGAGGAACUCUGCCGACUGAAACCUUUAUUUUUCUAGGUUGACCUCGGAUCAGGUAGGGAUACCCACUGAACUUAAGCAUAUCAAUAAGCGGAGGA